AAAGCACCCAAAGGGAAAAAAUAUAUAUCUCAGGAUGAACAUCAGAAUCUUGAGCUUCAAGACUCAGUCUCAAAGACACAAGUACGAGCCCAGAAGCACAAACCAUCUACAGGAGAAAUAUAUACUUCUCUCGAUGAACAUCA